rnacentral:rRNA from 1 species
CUGGGACGCGGACAGGAUUCUUACUCGAGUUUGAUUCGGGCUCCGGCCCGAUCCUCCCACCCUUUGUGCCCCACCCUCGGUUGCUUUGGUCGGGCCGUCGGUCCUCCGCGGCCGUCCCCCCUCCCCGGGGGGUGGCCAGCGCCCGCCAGAGGACCAUCAAACUCCAGUCAGUAAACGAUGCAGUCUGAAAAACAUUUAAUAAACUAAAACUUUCAACAACGGAUCUCUUGGUUCUGGCAUCGAUGAAGAACGCAGCGAAAUGCGAUAAGUAAUGUGAAUUGCAGAAUUCAGUGAAUCAUCGAAUCUUUGAACGCACAUUGCGCCCUUUGGUAUUCCGAAGGGCAUGCCUGUUCGAGCGUCAUUACAACCCUCAAGCUCUGCUUGGUAUUGGGCACCGUCCUUUGCGGGCGCGCCUCAAAGACCUCGGCGGUGGCGUCUUGCCUCAAGCGUAGUAGAACAUACAUCUCGCUUCGGAGCAAAAGGGGCGUCGCCCGCCGGACGAACCUUCUGAACUUUUUCUCAAGGUUGACCUCGGAUCAGGUAGGGAUACCCGC